rnacentral:tRNA from 1 species
UGCUCGAUAAUUCAAUUAGGGAGAAUACUUGGCUGAUAACCAAGCAAUGUUGGUUCGAAUCCAGCCCGAGCGA